GUUAGCUUUAUCAUUGAUCAUAAAUUAAUAUUUGAAGCUGAUUUGACUAAAAUAUAGAAAAUGUAAAGUCUUGAUUUGACUCAAAUUUAAAUGUGUAAAGUAUUUUU